GGCAGGAGAAUUGCUUGAACCCAGGAGGCAGAGGUUGCAGUGAGCUGAGAUCAUGCUAUUGCACUCCAGCCUGGAUGACAGAGUAGUACUUUGUCUCAAAAAAAAAAAAAAAAUUUGAGAUGAAGUCUCACUCUGUUGCCCAGGCUGGACUGCAGUGGCAUGAUCGCGGCUCACUGCAACCUCUGCCUCCCAGGUUCAAGGAUUCUCCUGCCUCAGCCUCCUGAGUAGCUAGGACUACAGGCAUGCGCUACCAAGCCCAGCUAAUUUUUUUUUUUUGUAUUUUUAGUGGAAUAGAAGUUUCACUAUGUUGGCCCGGCUGGUCUCAAACUCCUGACCUCAAGUGAUCUGCCUGCUGUGGCCUCCCAAAGUGCUGGGAUUACAGGCGUGAGCCACCACACCCAGUCGUUUCAUUUUCUUUUCUUUUCUUUUCUUUUCUUUUCUUUUCUUUUCUUUUCUUUCUUUCUUUCUCUUUCUUUCUAGAAAGAGCUGAGACUACAGAUGCACACCACUCACCUGGCUAAUGUUUUUAAAAAAUAUUUUUGUGGAGAUAGGAUCUUGCUAUAUUGCUCAGGCUGGGCAAAUACUCCUGGUUUCAAGGGAUCCUCCUAUGUUGGUCUCCCAAAGUGCUGGGAUUACAG
rnacentral:lncRNA from 10 species